rnacentral:rRNA from 1 species
UACGGAGGGGGCAAGCGUUGUUCGGAAUUACUGGGCGUAAAGGGCGCGUAGGCGGCCUUCUAAGUCGAACGUGAAAUCCCCGGGCUCAACCCGGGAACUGCGUCCGAUACUGGAAGGCUUGAAUCCGGGAGAGGGAUGCGGAAUUCCAGGUGUAGCGGUGAAAUGCGUAGAUAUCUGGAGGAACACCGGUGGCGAAGGCGGCGAUCCUGGACCGGUAU